rnacentral:tRNA from 1 species
GUCCCGGUGGCGGAAUUUGGUAGACGCGCCGUUCUCAAAAAUCGGUUCGAAAGAGUGCGGGUUCGAAUCCCGCCUGGGACACCA